rnacentral:rRNA from 1 species
GAUGAACGCUAGCGGCAGGCUUAAUACAUGCAAGUCGUGGGGCAGCAUGAAUGUAGCAAUACAUUUGAUGGCGACCGGCAAACGGGUGCGGAACACGUACACAACCUUCCUAUAAGUGGGGAAUAGCCCAGAGAAAUUUGGAUUAAUACCCCGUAACAUAAUGAUGUGGCAUCACAUUAUUAUUAUAGCUUCGGCGCUUAUUGAUGGGUGUGCGGCUGAUUAGAUAGUUGGCGGGGUAACGGCCCACCAAGUCUACGAUCAGUAGCUGAUGUGAGAGCAUGAUCAGCCACACGGGCACUGAGACACGGGCCCGACUCCUACGGGAGGCAGCAGUAAGGAACAUUGGUCAAUGGACGCAAGUCUGAACCAGCCAUGCCGCGUGAAGGAUUAAGGUCCUCUGGAUUGUAAACUUCUUUUAUCUGGGACGAAAAAAGGCUUUUCUAAGUCACUUGACGGUACCAGAUGAAUAAGCACCGGCUAACUCCGUGCCAGCCGCCGCGGUAACAC